rnacentral:rRNA from 1 species
CUAUGCGCCUUGCCAGCCCGCUCAGUCAGAGUUUGAUCCUGGCUCAGGAUGAACGCUAGCGGCAGGCCUAACACAUGCAAGUCGAGGGGUAUAAUUAGCUUGCUAAUUAGAGACCGGCGGAUGGGUGAGUAACGCGUAUGCAAUCUACCUUUCACAAGGGAAUAGCCCAGAGAAAUUUGGAUUAAUGCCCUAUGGUUUAUUACUAAGGCAUCUUAGAAAUAAUAAAGAUUUAUCGGUGAGAGAUGAGCAUGCGUCUCAUUAGCUAGUUGGUAUGGUAACGGCAUACCAAGGCAAUGAUGAGUAGGGGUCCUGAGAGGGAGAUCCCCACACUGGUACUGAGACACGGACCAG